AGUGUUAUAAUAUACCAGCACAUACAGUACUAAUCUAUACACCUGCAAUAUACCAACACAUGCACAUACAGUACUAAUACAUGAUGCCCCUA
rnacentral:sRNA from 1 species